ACAUACGUAUAUAUACAUACGUAUAUAUACAUACGUAUAUAUAAACAUAUAUAUACAUACGUAUACAUACAUACAUAUAUAUAUAUACGUAUAUAUACAUACAUAUAUACACAUACGUAUAUAUAUAUAUACAUAUAUAUAUACACACACACGUAUACAUACAUACACAUAUACACACACACAUGUACACACACAUAUAUAUAUAUAGACACACACA
rnacentral:lncRNA from 1 species